rnacentral:lncRNA from 1 species
GAAAGUUGAAACCUAGGAGAUCCUGGGAUCUCCUCUAGCGCCUUUGCGAUUGCUGCAUUUGACACCACCACCAUCGUCCUCCUCUCCCCUAUUCUCCUUCUUCCACGGCUCCUUCUGUAUCAAAUCUUGGUGUUAUUUUCUCAGAUCUAGGUUUUGUUCUCAGUUUGGAUUUUUCGCUGAAGAGGCUCGUGGUCGAGGUCACCGCACGACGCCGCAGGUGGUGGCACUGAGGAUUGGAUUGUUAUGUUGAUGUUAGCUUGCGCAAUAGAAAAGGAUUGUGAAACCUGGGUAUCAAUUGGUGUUCUUUUGUAAUUCAUAAUUUUUGUAAUUUAUUUUAUGUAUUCAAAUUCAAAUGCUAAAUUUGUUUGACUAUGAUCCAUUGAGGCAAAGUUUAAAUUGAAGAAAAAGAGGGAUUUUGUUGCACCCAUUGAACGAUGUUGCACAUUCCUUAGAUGCUUUGUAAAACUUAAUGCAGGAUCUAGUGUCAUAGUACCAUCUAUUGGAAGACUUUUAUUUUAUUACCAACAAUAAUCUGCAAUUUGGGGAAGCAACACUUCAAUUGAUGUUAAAAAAAACAUGUCUAUUAGCAUUUUUCUUGGAUCUGAGUUUUUCUUUCAUUUAAUAAUUUAUGAAUUUAUGAACAGAUGACAUGUGGGGAGAUGUUGCCGUGAGAUGAGAAGGAUAAGAAUAAACACCAGUAGAUAUGAAAGUUGUUGUCCUGGGUUGGGGAAGAAGAAUUGGGAAAAGAUGAGACCUAU